AUAAGGAUGAGUAAAUAAUGAUAGGCGUUUGAUUUUUGGAUAUUAGAAUGAGUGGUUUGAAUGCUGUCGCCUCAGUGUGUGGAAUCAUUUAAUGUCUAUGUCACUUUUGGUUUGCUUAAGUGCCUGUUUGGUUUUCCAUUGUGCUCUGGCAGAAUUUGGCGAGGCUUGGGUUAAUUUGGCAAUCCGUGUUUGUCCGAAACCCAAGAUUGCAAUAAUUUAAAGCUUGUCUGUUUAUAUGAUGAGUUUAAUGAAAACUGAGUGUUUGUGGGCAGCACAUAAGUCAAGGUGAUAUGAAGCUCAUUGUCACCUAACUGUGACCCUUCUGGCCUUUGUCAGCUCAUGAAACUGUUAUAACGCUCCGCCGGGCUGGCAGACUGAGCGGAGGACGCAGAAGACAGACAACAGCCGAGGGAAAGUGAAUGACCGUGGUGAGAGAUUCAUUCUUAUCGAGCGAAGAGGAACUGAUACACAGAGCUGGAUCUCGGCCAGAGGGGGCGCUAUGAGCCUCUGAGAUUGCCCUUUCUUUCCUGUCCCGUGUCUCUUUUGACUCGUCUUCCCAUUCAACAGUGGAUGGUGACCAGCCAACAAGCCCCAGAGGAGCCGUGAGGUGUUUCUCACAUCCUCAUCUGCCAGGACACACUCCGCUUAUCAAGCCAGUCACUUCAGAGAAAGCCACCACCGUCGCCACAAUGAGUUCCCACAGCCGCCCAGAUGGACUUCCCAGUAAAGAACAGCCACUAGAACUUCUGAAGCCAUCUGGAGUCAAUCACAUUCCUUCUGGAUCUGGAGUAGCAGUGGAUUGCUGGCUAGCCACAAACACAUUGGUUAGUCGGAUGUGGUUUCCCUCUGCUCUUGCUAAAAGAGACGAGACAGACCAUGGCAUCUGUGUACAGACAUGUUGGCCUGGUCAGAGAGCCAUACACAGACCGCUGGAGUCUGAGGACUCUGGUACCACACUGGAGCUGAGAAACGUGGUCAUGUCCAUGUUGAACACACAGUAUCUCUGAAGGAUUCACAUUGUUUCAUUUCUGAGAAGUACAGCUGGGCGUGUAGGUUUUUUCUUGGCUAGAGUUUGAAAUCUGGGACUUUUAUAGUAACUCCUGUAGUAAAGGAAGAAGGUGGAAAGUAUUUAAGACGAAAAUAAAGAAUAAAAGAAAACAAGGAAUAAGGAAGGGAAGGAUGAAGUUUGAAGCGUGCUACAGUAGACUAGGCAGGAAUGAGGAAAACAUGAAAAAAUACAAAGGAAAGUGAAAAACAGGCAUUGUUUAAGGAAAGAGAGAUCGAAAUAAAGGCAAGAAAUGUAGGAAAGAUGUUAAGCACAUUUUCUAUUCAUAGUCUGAGGCUGAACUGGACUUGAAGGACUUUAGGGGUUUUGUGUGGGAUUUGUUUGUCUUGAUAACCUGUUUAGACCCUGUCUAGGCAGCUUCAGCUGGUUCAGGCUCAUGUAGGACCGGGUUUAGGACUGGGGCUGUGGAUCAGGAAACAGAUGGUGCUGAAAGUCUCGCCUGGAGACCUGCUCACUGCCAACGGCGCCCUUUCACUCUUUCACUCUCCCUCUCUAUCUGUCUCUCUUCCCCUGUUCCCCCUCCUCGCUGAAUUAGUAUUGAUUGUAAACACGUUCUCUGAGCAGGGACCGAUGUUACAUUAUACCAUAUGUUUAAUGCGUCCGUGAGGACAUGGCGUGCUUGCUGUUUUUGGACCAUAACACUCCCAGCCAGUCCUGGUGUUUCUGGCCCGGAUGGACUGUAGUUUUGAUGUAUUCAUUUGUCUGAUGCUGGAGUCGGAGCAGCACAUACGCAAUAUUAAACCACCAUAUGCAGCUUCAUGCAUAAUUCAACAUGUGUGAGACGUGUAAGCAUUAAAUAUGAAGCGGUCUGUGCUGUUACUUUGGGAAAAAAUAUUGUAAACAUGGAGAAAGGCAGCUAUUUAUAUGACAUACCAGACAUUAGAGCUCAUUUUCUUAGCAUAAGAAAAAAAAAACUGAUGUUGAAAAAAUGUUUACAUUAACUUUUAUACUUUAAAAAAGGUUUAUAGUGUGUGUGUGUGCAUUGGAUUGCAUUGGAAAACCAAUCAGGACUUAAAAAUAUCUCCUUUUGUGUUCCAAAAAACAUACACAUUUCUCUUUUUUGCGCUAGAAACUCAUGAGUUUUGAAAAAAUGUCAAAAUGUUCAUGUUUGGAUGAACUAUAUCUUUAAAUUUUCAGAGGGAAGUGCAUCAGGAAAAUCGCCCUGUUUACAUGUCGAAUUGCUUGAAUGUCUGAGUGUCCUGAGCGCUAUAUCUUGUGUCUUAUUUAUGCUGUAGACGGCCUUUGCGCGGCCCUCCAGUGUGAGUUCAUUCAAGCAUGUUUGUCUGUGUCUGUGUGUCUGCUGAGAGCUUGAGUCAUCAGUGUGUUAUUCUUACAGUCUGUAGUGGGUUGAUGUGUUUAUGUGUGUGUGUUAAAGCCUCCUAGACAGCACACAUGACACACAAACACACAUUCUGGUCAAGUAAUGCUAUGACCUUUUGAUGCAUUCGCACAUAAUUCGCUCGCUCGUACACACUCUUCCUCAGAGGAGGGUUGUGAAAGCGCACUGGCUCUCACAAACGUGCCGGGCAGAUCUCCUGCUACGAGGGAGGAAAAUGAAUUGAAAAUGAAGAUGAGCUGUUGGCGACUUGUUAAACGCCCACAACUCUGAGCUCCAAACUGGCCUUCUCCAAAAAAGCAUGCAAAUGCAUCUGCUCUUUAUAGCGAUUUUAUUUGAUGCAUUUUUGGAGAGUCUUUUUGCAGCUUUAUUGCUUAGACCCAGUAGAAUGGAGUCAAAUGCAAACCUGCGUUUCUCGUUUGCAAUGGAAAAAGGUUUAACUCAUUUUACCCUGCUCAAAUUAGAGAUCCUCCAGAAGAUCGAUUAUCAUAAAAAUAUUCAUUUUAAUAUUUAUUAUUUAAUUAAUAUAAAUACAAUGUGUAAUUG
rnacentral:lncRNA from 1 species